rnacentral:lncRNA from 1 species
AUACCACAAAGGAUGGGGAAUAAGAGAUGCUCCCUCUGCCCCCAUGAGCCCCCUUAGCCAGCCUCCUGCCUCCUGCUUCCCAUCUCUCCAAGGGGAUCCACCCUGAGUCUGACCAGCAUCCCCGUGUUCCCUGUGGCCGGGAUCAGGCAGGGACACAGAGAUUGCUUGAGACACUUUCUGGUGACUAAUGCAGUAUACUUGAACAGGAAACAGACUGGAAAGGACUUAGGGGGAGCUAUAAAUAGCCCAUGUCCUAAAAAAAUGAACUUGGGAAGAAAUGGAAUUAACAAACUGGGAGGAGAACAAGGAGAUCACAGGCUCCAAACAAGACCAAGCUUUCUCUUGGGAAAUGAGCUUUUCUCCCAGAUGGAGCUCCAUCUGCCCUUGCAGGAUCAGCUCCCCCAAGUGUGCCCUGCUCCACCCUGGGGUUGACCAGCCAGCUCAGCCUGCCUGCCAAUAUGAUGCCUGGAAUUGUCUGUGGUUCUGGGGGCCAAGCCUUGUCAGGAUCAUCACGUAAGGGUGUGUAUGUGCGGAAGGGUGGUGGCUGAGGCUCAGGAUUCAAGGACUAUGGACCAUGGUGGGAAAGUAGAGAAUUGGAGCAGUGACAGGUCAGGGACAUCCCUUCUGAUGUUCCUCAGUUCUCUUCUGUUCUCUGGGCUUCAGCAAUCUGCUGUCUCUUGAACCCAGUGAGGGGAGGGGUGAGUCAGGCAGAAGAAUGAGCUCAGGUAGGAUGGCACGUCAGCAGCCUGGAGUCUGACACCGGCCAAGACACUCAGUGGCAGAGUAAUGUAGAAUAGAACACUCCAUUUCACUAAGACUGGUUCCUUUUCUGUAAGAUUGAGAGGUUAGACUAGUUCACUGGAUUUGAAAUAUUUUUAUUUUUUAAAGAUGCAUAACCUUUCUCCAAAGGAAAUCACAAGGAAAGAAGAGUACUGCCCUGGUUAAGGUGGGGACUCAGGGUUUCUCACACUUACACUCAACCAUUUCCCUUGUGGUAGCCCUGAGAAACUGCCACAGUGCACCAGGGCGUCGCCCAGCUCUGUUGAAAGCCACAGGACUGGAGCACUUGGCAAGUUUGGCUGGCCACCCAAACACAGCUCCUCACGGUUUCUUUCUGUCUUUCCUUUCUCCAUAGAGGCUGGAAAGCUAAAACAGUGAAAGGUAAUGCUGAGCAAUGGAGGCCUAACUAAUGAUGUCAGUGAAAACAGAGGAGGAACUUGUAAUUUACACUCCCCAGCUAACUUCUUCCUCCUCUUCUUCUUUUUUUUUUUUUUUAAAGACAGCACAAUCCUCCUGCCUCAGCCUCCCAAGUAGCUGGGAUGACAGAGGCAUGCCACUAUACGCGGCUCCUAGCAAACUUCUUAUAUCCUUAUUAGUUAUUGUGAUAGACUGAUUGCAAAAACAGCCACAAUCGUCUAUCCCUUCCAGUCCACACCCUCUGCAUCCUCAAUCCACACCCUCUGCAAUGUGACCGUGUAGCUCCUCCCAUCAAGAGACAGAAUCCAUUUCCCCACCCUUUGAAUAUGGGCCGGCCUUGAAAUUUGCUUUGAACAGUGUUUAUUGAAAGUGACAAUGUGCCAGCUCCACGCUUAGGUCUUAAGAAGCCUGUGUCUUCUACUGUCUCUCUCUUAAACCCCUGCUGCUGCCAUGAGAACAAGCUGGGGCUAGCCUAUGAGAAAUGAAAUAUCACACAGAGCAGAGCCGAGUUGUCCCAGCAGAGGCCACCCCAGGCCAGCCAUCCUCCAGCCAACCUGCCAGCGGACCCGAGAUGCAUGAGCAACUAGACUCAUGAGAAAUAAUACAUGUUGUUUUAAGGCAUACGUUUUGGGGGUAGUCUAUUUCUGUUCUAGUAUUUAUUGUCGAGUAACACACCACCCCAAAACUUAGUGAUUUAAAACAAUGUAUUAUAUACUCAUUUAUUACAAUCUCCCAAGGUUCUACGCAUUGACUAGUCGCCGUGGGGCAAUUCCCACCUGGGGGCUUUCAGAUGAUUAGUCAGAUGUCGGCUAGGGCUGCAGGUAUCCGAAAGGUUCAGCUUGAGUGGGUGCCUGGGAUGGCUCACCCAGGUGGCUGGCACUGGAUGCCAGCUCUCAUGCUGGACUCAACUGGGCUGUUGACUGCACAUGACCUCUGCAUGGGCAAGGGCUUUUCACACCGGGGUGCUGGGUUCCACGAGGCAGGAAGAGGAUGCUGCUAGGCCAGGUAAGAGUUGUGGCAGCACUGGCACGGCAUCACUUUCUUUCUAUUCUAUUGGUCAAAACAAUCACAGCAUCGACCCUUGGAAACAUAGAUGUCACAUCUUGAUAGGGAAAUGGCAAGGUCACAUUUCAAAAGAGAAGAUAGGAUGGGAGAUAUUGUUGCGGCCAUCUUUGGGAAAUACAAUCUGCCACAGUUGCAUAGCAUUAUUGAAGCAAUGAGUAACACAGACAGACAUUUUUAUUUUCCAGGUCUCCAUCUUCCUUGCAGCACUGCUUUCUGUCCAGCCUCCCUGCAUACCCACUUCAUCACACAGGGAAUGGCAAACACUGAGCUGCUGGGGGAAAGGCCUGCAGGGCCCUUCUGAGCUUUGUCGCCAGCUCUGGGGUCAGCAGGAAAGAAUGCAGUGACUGACCAGUGAUCACUGCCUCAAGGACCACGAGAAGAGGGGAAAGCCCUGGUAUGAAUGAGCUUGUACCCUUCACCUCGCUGCGUCUUGGUUUCCUCUUUUACAUUUUUCUAAGGAUUCUUCAGUAUGGAUAUGAGGAAAUAUAAUUGUCUAAUUUCAUUAGAGAGUGGAUCCAGGCAAUGCAAGCCGAGUGCUUUGCCAGUACUAGGUGCGGUGGAGGAAAAAAUUAGAUUAUUCACAGGUUCAAAUUGAGAUUCUCACCUUAUUACUCACACAGAGAGACUAAAGGUAUCAAUUUCUGCUCUCCCCAGCCAGGCCUACCCACAGGAGCUAGAGAUAUUCAACUGCCUUAUUUAGCUUCACCCAGGCCCAGGAGCUGCUGAAAUUAGACCUGGCCUGGUAGUGGGAACCCCAUCUGGGCAGUGGGAGAGAAAGGGUUAAGAUCUGUGAUCAUCGCAUGUUCUUACUCAUAAGUGGAAGCCAAACAAUGGGAACACAUGGACACAGGGAGGGGAACAACACACACUGGGGCCUGUGGCAGGGCAGGGGGAAGGAGAGCAUCAGGUCAAAUAGCUAAUGCAUGCUGGGCUUAAUACCUAGGUGAUGGGUUGAUAGGUGUAGCAAACCACCACGGCACAUGUUUACCUAUGUAGCAAACCUGCACAUUCUGCACAUGUAUCCUGGAACUUAAAGUAAAACUAAAAAAUGUUUAAAAUAAUUAAAAAGAAAAAGAUCUGCGUUUAUGACCCAAGGUUCCUGAGAAGGCUCCCUGCCUUGGGCCUCCACCUCUGUUCUCAGCUCCAGCCUUUCCCCAGCCCAAUCUGGGUAACUGAGCUUCUGCCCCAGGUUUUCCAGUGAGCAAGAAGUCCCCUUAACCCCAUUCAGCUGGGAUUCUAUGGUCUUGCCAACUUCCCCUAUCAUUUUUCCUUUUAGACCACGCCCUAUUCCUGAAUCCAAAACCACUUCCUGCUUCAAAGAGGAAGUUCCUUCAGAAGCCAGAUGCUGUUACCCACCUGAAAACAAGUAUCUUUGGCAAAAGCCAGAGACUCCUCCUGUCAGAGCCCUGCCCACCUGCCUGAGAGCCCCUGCCAGGUCAGCAGCCAGUAUGUUAACCCCCCUGAGGGCCCUAGGCCCCCGCUACUCCUGUCCCGGCAGGUCUCAGAGCUGAGCCCAGAGGGUCACGACAGGAAGAAGGCAGAUGCCUUCCAUACUGACUAGGUUUUUGGCUUGCUUUGCACCAACAUCCUGUCUGCCCUGUUUCCUACUGAGGGCAAACUGGACUGGUUUUUAAUUAAACCCAUUCCCCCAGAGAGCUUGGGGGAGAGAUAGCCUCAUAGAAUUCCUUCAGUAGUUAUCAGAAGGAGACCCCGUGGAGGCAGAGGUUGCAGUGAGCAGAGAUCGUGCCACUGCACUCCGGCCUAGGCAACAGAGUAAGACUCCGUCUAAAAAAAAAAAGAAAAAAGAAGGAGCCAGGGUGGGGGGUGGGAACAGGAGAGAGGGAGGGGGGAAAGUGAAGUCACAAGUCCAGAGUGGUUCCUUCCUGGCUGAGCUAAUGCCCUAGCAAUGCACCUUAUGUAAUGGGCAACUCACCUGAGCGUCUGAGCCCAUAGGAGUGCCAGCCCCUCCCUGUGGUGCCUCCCCUGCAGGGCCCACAGCCACACCCUCAGUGCACACACUCUCCUUCCUAUCCAUCCACUGAUACCUGGGGAUGACCUUUGAACGAUGUCCAGCAAAUCAAGCAAAUUAAAGGCAAUCACAUCCACUGUAAUACAUCUGCUUGGUAGAACAUUUGAACAGAGAAAACAUUCCCCAGAGCUCCACCCCUAGAGAUAGUUUUUCUUUUAUUUUUUUCACCCAGGUUGGAGUGCAGUGGUGCAAUCUUGGCUCACUACAACCUCUGCCUCCCAGGCUCAAGCAGUUCUCCCACUUCAGCCUCUCGAGUAGCUGUGACAACAGGUGCAUACCACCACACCCGGCUAAUUUUUUGUAUUUUUGGCAGAGACGAAGUUUUGCCAUAUUGCCCAGGCUGGUCUCAAAUUCCUGAGCUCAGGUCAUCCACCUGCCUUAGCCUCCCAAAAUGCUGGGAUUACAGGUGUGAGCCACAACACCCGGACUUCUAGAGAUAGUUUCUAUAUUCUAGAGAUGUUUUUAUUUUUAUUUAUGUUUAACCAAAUUAAACUCUUCAGUUCUUCUUUCUGGUGCUUCCUUUGGUCUUUAGCUGAGUCCCUCUCCAAAACUAGAGGCCAUAGGGUUGCUGUGGCUUUUCCAUCCCCAUCAUAAAGGGUAGUGCUCCCUCAGUGAUUGGUUUCAGGAUUCUCCCCAAUACAAAUCAGGCCUCCAAGAACCAUGUCCCCUUCAGAGAGGAUUCCUAAGCUUCCUCCUCUUCCUCCUCUUCUUACUGCAAGGGAAAUACAAGAUCAGUCUGGAAUGGGCUUCCAGAUUCAUACAACCUCCCCCAGGACACAGAUUCCGGGAGAGAGAAGAGGAAGGCAGGUUUGGAGCCUCCACCACCACCAGUUUCCCUCACGCCCUCCUCUCUCCCUUCCCCUCUUUCUCAACUUCCUCCUUUCCCUCUCUUCCUUCUAUGAUCUGUCCCUGCCCCUCUGUCUCCUCUUCCUUUCCUUCCUUCCUCCCUUUUCUCCUCCCUUCCUUAGCAGGCAGCAAUGAGCAGGUGGCACUGAACUUAGAUUCCACCAUCACAGGUGGGUAGAUCUUGGCUCACAAGCCUGUCAUUGACUAGCUAAGUAGCCCUGAUUGGAGGAGUCAUUUUAUUUCCCUGAGCCUUUGUUUCUCAUCUGCAACAUGGAGAUUUUACUCACCACCGUGGUGCAGACAAAGUAGGACAAAGUAUCCUUUAACCCAGGGCUUGACACGUGACACUCAUCAAACAUUGCUGAGCUCUAAUCUGCAUCAGGAUAUGGUAAGUGUCUACUGGGUGCUGGGACAAAAGGUACAGAUGGGAGCAAGGCAGAGAUCCCUAAACAGACCUCUGUUGUGAUCUUUGUUGUAAUACAUGGUAAUUAUUUGUUUCCAAAAAGAGGUGGAAGGAGACAUAGAUAGCUUCUACCGCCAGGCAUUCAGGCACCAGCUGUGAAGGCCUUCUGCACAUUGAAAAACUCAGAGUAGCCUGGUGGCUGGAAUGAAAAGUCAACACCAGUUCCCCCAGCAAAAUAUUUCUCCAUUCAGCCUUUUCGGCUCAUUGGUUUGCCUGAAAUCAGUUGUUUCUCCCUGGGGAAGCAAUCUUUAAAAUGGUGAGGAGAGUGUGCAUCUGAUGUGCCUGCACUUGUGCCUGUGAAACAGGGUAGGCUCAGAGCUCCGUGCAGGCCCAUGAAGUCCCCUCAGAGACACCAGUGUUGGGUUGUCAUAGGGUCCCAGAAAAUGCCUGUCUGCUUCGUGAGAUUUAGGCUGGGUGCACAGAGGUUUCACUUGGUGUGCCUGACUUAUUUAGGGGCUGCCUGAAGUGCCAUGUGAGAAAGGAGGCUGAGGGCGUUGGGUUUGGAGGAAGAGAGCACUAGGGUGGAUUAGCAGUAUCUGCUGCAAGUGGAAUUUGGAGGGGAUAGAAAUCGUGCGUUCAGCUUAUUUGGCAUCUCUGGGUUGGCCUCACUUUGGCAGUUGGUUCCUGCUGGCUGGGCUCUGCUCACACGCAGUGAGAGGUCUCUCAGAGGCUCUUUGUUCUGCUGCUGGGGAUGCCUUGGGAAUGAUGCCCUGGGGUGCACUGCCACAUCCCACACAAAAGGUCUCCUUAGCUGGAGAGCCUUACCAGGUGCAUGGAGGGGAAGACGCGGUACCAUAAAGAUGAGGAUUCCUCUCAAAGUAAUAUAUGCAUUGAAUGAAAUGCCUACUUCAGUAAGGAAUUUCCCAAAGCUUUACAAGCUAAUUCUAAAAUUCACAUGGAAGAGAGGCCAGAGAAUAGCUUAAAUUACUUUGAACAAGGAGGGGAGACUUAGCUGCCAGCUAUUAAAAUCCAUUAUUAAGGCACUGAUGUUAAAGAAUCACCACACAAAUAGACAAACAGACAUUGGAGCAGAAGACAGGGAACAGAAAGACGCUCAUAUGUAUCUGGAUAACAUUGACAGGAAAAUCAAAUUGUAAUGUCACAUACAGGAGUCUUCAUGAAGGUAAGAUGUUUAAAAACAUUUUUAAAAGUAUAAAACAUUGUUUAGAAAUAUACGCCUUUGUAGUAAAUGUGUAAAAACACGCAUUAGAAUGAUGAACACCAAAUUCCAGAGAAAGGGAAUGGAUCCCUGUGGGGCACAGAGUGUGCAUUAACUAUGUUUAUGUCUUUAAAGGAAGAAAAUAUUUGAAGCAGAUAUGGCAAACGGAGAAGAUUCAUGAAAGCUGGAUGGCCGGCGCAUGAGCGUUUGCGGUGUCAUACUUUGUUUCCUUAUGUUUGAAAUAUUAGCAUGGCUGGGCAUGGUGGCUCACGCCUGUGAUCCUAGCAUUUUGGGAGGCUGAAGCUGGGGGAACACUUGAGGUCAGGAGUUCAAGACUAGCCUGGGCAACAUAGUGAGACCUCAUCUCCAAAAAAAAAAAAAAAAAAAGAAAGAAAGAAAAUGAAACAUUAGGGAAAAAAAAUCCCCCAUGUGCCUGGUCUGCCGGAUUCCCCCAGUAGCCUGGUUAUGGCUUGGGAGGGGAAAAGGAGGGGUGUUUUUGUCUAUUUCUCACAUAUGACACUCAAUGACUUCACAAUCAUUAAUUCAUCACCCACUAAGGGUCAUGCACUGAGGUACCAAGACUAAUGAAGGUCCGGCCCUCCCCAGUGUAGGAGGCAGGUAAAUGAUCACACUGUGACAAAUGCUCAAACGGGGAUGUGCUUGCAAAGGCUAGAGACAGCACGGGAGGAAGGAGCAGUCCAUUCUGCUGAGAGUGUGAGUACCGAGAAAGCAUGGCACUGGGCUUGAAGGAUGAGGAGUUCGCCAGACACAGAGGAUGAGGAGAGCAGCACGUGAGUAAAGAAAACAGAGAAAGGAACUCUCUGUCAUGUUGUGGGCUGGAGGGCAGCAUUCACACUGGACAAGUGCUUCAGAAAGAUCCUUCUGGCAGGUAGUGGGCAGAAAAAUGAGUGAAGUCAGAGCGAUCGACUAGGAAUCCACUGAAAGUGGAUUUAAAUGAGAGGUGAUGAAAAACUCAGCUACAGCUGGGCGAGGUGGCUCACACCUGUGAUCCCAGCAUUUUGGGAGGCCGAGGUGGGCGGAUCACAAGGUCAGGAGUUUAGGACCAGCCUGGCCAACAUGGUGAAACCCUGUCUCUACUAAAACAAACAAACAAACAAAACUCUCUCUAUAUAUAUGUAUAAUAUAUUAAUAUAUUAUAGAUCUAUAAUAUAUUAAUAGAAUGUAUUAUAGAUAUAUAUUAAUAUAAUGUAUUAUAUAUAUAAAUAUAAUAUAUUAUAUAUAAUAUUAUUUUAUAUAUAUAUAUACACACACAAAAAUUAGCCAGGUGUGAUGGCAGGCACCUGCAGUCCCAGCUACUCGGGAGGGUGAGGCAGGAGAAUCGCUUAAACUCAGGAGACAGAGGUUGCAGUGAGCUGAGGUCACACCACUGCACUCCAGCCUGGGCGAAAGAGCAAAACUCUGUCUCAAAAAAAUAAAUGAAUAAGAAAAAAAGAAAAGAAAAAGAAAAACUCAGCUACAACAGAGUGACUGGUUAUAAUUUCCCUGCAAAACUGCUAAUUCUCUGAUGGAGGGACAAGCGCUGAAUCAGGUUUUGUUUAUCUCUGCAGAGUACCUACAUUGUUCCCUCUUAUGAUAGGAGCUCAAACACAUGUUGAUGAAAGGGAGGGAGGAAGGAAGCAGGCAGGCCCGCAGGCCCAUGCCCUUCUUUUACAGAUAAGGAGACAGAGCUGGGACGGGUGGAGGAGUGUUCAAGGACAUUCUUGGCUAGAAACUUACUAUCUAAAAUAGUAAAGAGACCUCUAACCAUUCUGCUGACAAACUUAUAAGCACAAUAAGCUUUGAAUAACAAACACUCCGCAGGUAAAGUUCCAUGACAACGAUUCUUGUUAUAAAGUUGUGGUCUUCAUAGAGAAGUGCUUUCCUCUCUCAGGCAGGAAAAGAGUUCCUUUAAAAUAGAUCGAAAUGCUCUGUGAUGAAUAAUACGAAGCAGUAAGGCCUUCACCUGGCCUGGGUCCAAAUAACAGGUUCUAUUCAGGUGGCUCUGAAAGCACCUGAUUGUGUGCUGUCGCCACUGUGGGCAGGGCAAGUCCAGCAGAACUUUACAAGUCUUUUGUUCUGCCAGCAAGCAGUAAUUGGUUCUCCACCCCAGUGUAGUAAACUUCCAGCCACCUGAAUGAAAUUCACCUAAUUUAACAAACUGCACGAGAAGCAAAGCAACUCCCGGAGCAUACACAGGUGUGAAUAUUGUGCAUCUGUCUUCUCUGUGAUUCCUCUUGUCUUGAGGCUUCCACACCCCUCUGGUCCUUGGUUCGUCCUGUCCCCUCUUCUCCAGACCCAUCUUCCCAUCUACUGCAGACCUGGCUCUAUUGGGUAUUGAAUCUGCUUCUCUCCACACCUCAGUUUCCCCCUUUCACCUAGCUCUUCCUUUUAGCUUCUAAACAUGCUCAAGGCUUGCAGCCUAAAAAUGAAAAUACUACAAACUACUCUUUAUUCUGCUUCUUCCCCCACUGUGUGCCCCUUCCAGUCAUAAGCGAUUCUGCAAGGAACCAUCUAUACUCAGUCUCUACCAUCUCAUUUCUUGCUACAUAGCAAACAACGUUCUAAGAAUUUUACAUAUAUUGACUUAUGGAAGCCUGACAACAUCACUGUGAUGUAAGUGCUAUUGUUAUUUACAUUUUAUGGAUGAGGACAAGGAGGCACUGAACAGCAAAGUAUUUGCCCUGGAUCACCAGGAUUUGGGCAAAGGUAUGCUCUGAGACCUUUUUCCCCGCCUUAUGCCCAUUACAAGGUACCUUGAAUGAAAAAAUACACAAGAACAUUGCAUGGACCUGUCUCAUUUAUUGAUUCAUUCAUUUCUUCAUUAUUUAACACUUACUGGAGGCCUACCAUGUGCAAGACAAGAGAAAGACAUGAGUCUGCUGUUGACAUGGUCAGAGUCCAAAAUGGGAGGCAGGCCUGCAAUAUAGCAUAAGAAGAGCUCUGGUAAAUAGGUGACAGGGG